UACGAAGGGUGCAAGCGUUAAUCGGAAUUACUGGGCGUAAAGGGCUCGUAGGCGGCCAACUAAGUCGGAUGUGAAAUCCCCAGGCUCAACCUGGGAACUGCAUCCGAUACUGGAUGGCUUGAAUCCGGGAGAGGGAUGCAGAAUUCCAGGUGUAGCGGUGAAAUGCGUAGAUAUCUGGAGGAAUACCGGUGGCGAAGGCGGCAUCCUGGACCGGCAUUGACGCUGAGGAGCGAAAGCUAGGGGAGCAAACGGG
rnacentral:rRNA from 1 species